rnacentral:rRNA from 1 species
UGGGGAAUAUUGCACAAUGGGCGCAAGCCUGAUGCAGCCAUGCCGCGUGUAUGAAGAAGGCCUUCGGGUUGUAAAGUACUUUCAGCGGGGAUGAAGGGAGUAAAGUUAAUACCUUUGCUCAUUGACGUUACCCGCAGAAGAAGCACCGGCUAACUCCGUGCCAGCAGCCGCGGUAAUACGGAGGGUGCAAGCGUUAAUCGGAAUUACUGGGCGUAAAGCGCACGCAGGCGGUGUGUUAAGUCAGAUGUGAAAUCCCCGGGCUCAACCUGGGAACUGCAUCUGAUACUGGCAAGCUUGAGUCUCGUAGAGGGGGGUAGAAUUCCAGGUGUAGCGGUGAAAUGCGUAGAGAUCUGGAGGAAUACCGGUGGCGAAGGCGGCCCCCUGGACGAAGACUGACGCUCAGGUGCGAAAGCGUGGGGAGCAAACA